rnacentral:rRNA from 1 species
UCAAAUUUAUAAUCUGGCACCUUCGGUGUCCGAGUUGUAAUCUCUAGAAGUGUUUUCCGCGUUGGACCGCACACAAGUCUGUUGGAAUACAGCGGCAUAGUGGUGAAACCCCCGUAUAUGGUGCGGACGCCCAGCGCUUUGUGAUACACUUUCAAUGAGUCGAGUUGUUUGGGAAUGCAGCUCAAAUUGGGUGGUAAAUUCCAUCUAAAGCUAAAUAUUGGCGAGAGACCGAUAGCGAACAAGUACCGUGAGGGAAAGAUGAAAAGCACUUUGGAAAGAGAGUUAACAGUACGUGAAAUUGUUGGAAGGGAAACGCUUGAAGUCAGACUUGCUUGCCGGAGCUUGCUUCGGUUUGCAGGCCAGCAUCAGUUUUCCGGGGUGGAUAAUGACGGUUUGAAGGUAGCAGUCUCGGCUGUGUUAUAGCUUUCCGUUGGAUACAUCCUGGGGGACUGAGGAACGCAGCGUGCUUUUUGCGAAAGACUCGUCUUUUUCACGCUUAGGAUGCUGGUGGAAUGGCUUUAAA